UGAGGAAUAUCGGGCAAUGCCCGCAAGGGUGACCCAGCAACGCCGCGUGGAGGAUGAAUGUCGUAAGAUUGUAAACUCCUGUUAGAGGGGAAGAAUAGUACCGGUUGGACCGGUAUAUGACUGUACCCUCAGAGAAAGCCCCGGCUAACUACGUGCCAGCAGCCGCGGUAAUACGUAGGGGGCAAGCGUUGUCCGGAUUUACUGGGUGUAAAGGGCGCGCAGGCGGGAUAAAAAGUCAGUGGUGAAAUCCUACAGCUUAACUGUAGAACUGCCUUUGAUACUUUUAUUCUUGAGUUCGGGAGAGAGAGACGGAAUUCCAGGUGUAGUGGUGAAAUACGUAGAUAUCUGGAAGAACACCAGUUGCGAAGGCGGUCUCUUGAUCCGACACUGACGCUGAGGCGCGAAAGCGUGGGGAGCAAACA
rnacentral:rRNA from 1 species